AGUAAAGUCAGCUAACCUAAGCUAUCGGGCCCAUACCCCGAAAAUGUUGGCCAAACCCCUUCCUUUACUA
rnacentral:tRNA from 1 species